AGUAGCUGAAAUUUGUGUAGUCUUCAAACACUUUUUCAAUAUAGUCUACUAGUAAACAGUGAUGCAAAGAGGCACGAAAUGCCGUUGCAAAAUACAGUUCAACACCUGAAUGCAUUGUGGAUGCUGAAGAUGUUGUGUU